ensembl:misc_RNA Metazoa_SRP Metazoan signal recognition particle RNA
GCCAGGCGUGGUGGUGGGCGCCUUUAAUCCCAGCUACUUGGAGGCUGAGGCGGGAGAAUCGCUUGAACUUGGGAGGUUGAGGCUGCAGUGAGCCAAGAUGGCACCGCUGCACUCCAGCCUGGGUGACAGAGUGACACCCUGUCUCAA